UGUGAAGCUGCCCGCCUGCCUGGCCGGUGACCAGGGACGCAUGAGGCCACCUGUCUGCCUGGUGACCAGGGACGUGGGAGGCUGCCCGGCCGGUGACCAGGGACGCGUGAGGCCACCUAUCUGCCUGGUGACCAGGGACGUGGGAGGCCGCCCGCCUGGCUGGUGACCCGGGACGCG